GAUGAACGCUAGCGGCAGGCCUAACACAUGCAAGUCGAGGGGCAGCACAGAAACAGCAAUGUUUUGGUGGCGACCGGCGGACGGGUGCGUAACGCGUAUGCAACCUACCUUUAACAGGGGGAUAACGGAGAGAAAUUUCCACUAAUACCCCAUAACAUCGAUCAAGGCAUCUUGAUUGGUUGAAAACUCCGGUGGUUAAAGAUGGGCAUGCGUUGUAUUAGGUAGUUGGUGAGGUAAUGGCUCACCAAGCCUACGAUACAUAGGGGGACUGAGAGGUUAGCACACCACACUGGGACUGAGACACGGACCAGACUCCUACGGGAGGCAGCAGUGAGGAAUAUUGGUCAAUGGGGGCAACACUGAACCGGCCAUGCCGCGUGCAGGAAGACGGCUCUAUGAGUUGUAAACUGCUUUUAAACAGGGAUAAAGCACAGUAUGUAUACUGUGUUGAAGGUACUGUAAGAAUAAGGAUCGGCUAACUCCGUGCCAGCCGCCGCAGUAA
rnacentral:rRNA from 1 species